AAGGUUAAGUUAAUAAGGGCGCACGGUGGAUGCCUUGGCACUAGGAGCCGAAGAAGGACGUGACGAACGACGAAAUGCUUUGGGGAGCUGUAAGUAAGCCUGUGAUCCAGAGAUGUCCGAAUGGGGGAACCCGACAACUAAUGGUUGUCAUCCAUGACUGUUAAGGUCAUGAGAAGGAAGACGCAGUGAACUGAAACAUCUAAGUAGCUGCAGGAAGAGAAAGCAAAAGCGAUUGCCUUAGUAGCGGCGAGCGAAGAGGCAGGAGGGCAAACCGAAGUGUUUACACUUCGGGGUUGUAGGACUGCGCWGUGGACGUAUAGAUUAUAGAAGAAUGUUCUGGGAAGGACAGCCAAAGAGAGUAAGAGCCUCGUAUUCGAAAUAGUCUAUAUACCUAGCAGGAUCCUGAGUACGGCGAGACACGAGGAAUCUCGUCGGAAGCUGGGAGGCCCAUCUCCCAACCCUAAAUACUCCCUAGUGACCGAUAGUGAACCAGUACCGUGAGGGAAAGGUGAAAAGCACCCCGGAAGGGGAGUGAAAAAGAACCUGAAACCGUGUGCCUACAAGAAGUUCGAGCCCGUUAAUGGGUGAGAGCGUGCCUUUUGUAGAAUGAACCGGCGAGUUACGUUAAUGUGCGAGGUUAAGUUGAAGAGACGGAGCCGUAGGGAAACCGAGUCUGAAUAGGGCGGAAUAGUACAUUGACGUAGACCCGAAACCAUGUGACCUACCCAUGAGCAGGGUGAAGGUGAGGUAAGACUCACUGGAGGCCCGCACCAGAGUACGUUGAAAAGUGCUUGGAUGACUUGUGGGUAGCGGAGAAAUUCCAAACGAACUUGGAGAUAGCUGGUUCUCUCCGAAAUAGCUUUAGGGCUAGCGUCGACAUUUAGAUUAUUGGAGGUAGAGCACUGUUUGGGUAAGGGGUCCAUCCCGGAUUACCAAACUCAGAUAAACUCCGAAUGCCAAGUAAUCAUGGUCGGCAGUCAGACUGCGAGUGCUAAGAUCCGUAGUCGAAAGGGAAACAGCCCAGACCACCAGCUAAGGUCCCCAAAUAAUUGUUAAGUGGAAAAGGAUGUGGGGUUGCACAGACAACUAGGAUGUUAGCUUAGAAGCAGCUAUUCAUUCAAAGAGUGCGUAAUAGCUCACUAGUCGAGUGACCCUGCGCCGAAAAUGUACCGGGGCUAAAACAAUUUACCGAAGCUGUGGAUCCUUUAGGGGAUGGUAGGAGAGCGUUCUAUGUACGCAGAAGGUAUACCGUGAGGAGUGCUGGAGUGCAUAGAAGUGAGAAUGCCGGUAUGAGUAGCGCAAGACAGGUGAGAAUCCUGUCCACCGUAAGACUAAGGUUUCCAGGGGAAGGCUCGUCCGCCCUGGGUUAGUCGGGACCUAAGGAGAGACCGACAGGUGUAUCCGAUGGGCAACAGGUUGAUAGUCCUGUACUAGAGUAUAGAGUGAAGGAGGGACGCAGAAGGCUAACUCAACCAGACGAAUGGAAGUGUCUGGCCAAGCAGUGAGGCGUGGUAUGAGUCAAAUGCUUAUACCUGUAACGCCAGGCUGUGAAGGGGAGCGAAGUUUAGUAGCGAAGUGAGUGAUGUCACGCUGCCAAGAAAAGCUUCUAGCGUUAAUCUAUACUCUACCCGUACCGCAAACCGACACAGGUAGUCGAGGCGAGUAGCCUCAGGUGAGCGAGAGAACUCUCGUUAAGGAACUCGGCAAAAUGGCCCCGUAACUUCGGGAGAAGGGGCGCUGACUUUSAGUCAGCCGCAGUGAAUAGGCCCAAGCAACUGUUUAUCAAAAACACAGCUCUCUGCGAAAUCGUAAGAUGACGUAUAGGGGGUGACGCCUGCCCGGUGCUGGAAGGUUAAGAGGAGUGCUUAGCGGUAACGCGAAGGUAUGAAUUGAAGCCCCAGUAAACGGCGGCCGUAACUAUAACGGUCCUAAGGUAGCGAAAUUCCUUGUCGGGUAAGUUCCGACCCGCACGAAAGGCGUAAUGAUUUGGGCACUGUCUCAACGAGAGACUCGGUGAAAUUUUAGUACCUGUGAAGAUGCAGGUUACCCGCGACAGGACGGAAAGACCCCAUGGAGCUUUACUGCAGUUUGAUAUUGAGUAUCUGUACCACAUGUACAGGAUAGGUAGGAGCCAUUGAGUUCGGGACGCUAGUUUCGAAUGAGGCGCUGUUGGGAUACUACCCUUGUGUUAUGGCUACUCUAACCCACUAGGCUAAACGUCUAGGGAGACAGUGUCUGACGGGCAGUUUGACUGGGGCGGUCGCCUCCUAAAAGGUAACGGAGGCGCCCAAAGGUUCCCUCAGAUUGGUUGGAAAUCAAUCGCAGAGUGUAAAGGUAUAAGGGAGCUUGACUGCGAGAGCUACAACUCGAGCAGGGACGAAAGUCGGGCUUAGUGAUCCGGUGGUACCGCAUGGAAGGGCCAUCGCUCAACGGAUAAAAGCUACCCUGGGGAUAACAGGCUUAUCUCCCCCAAGAGUUCACAUCGACGGGGAG
rnacentral:rRNA from 1 species